rnacentral:rRNA from 1 species
UACGAAGAGGGCUAGCGUUGCUCGGAAUUACUGGGCGUAAAGCGCACGUAGGCGGAUUGUUAAGUCGGGGGUGAAAUCCUGGAGCUCAACUCCAGAACUGCCUUCGAUACUGGCGAUCUCGAGUUCGGGAGAGGUGAGUGGAACUGCGAGUGUAGAGGUGAAAUUCGUAGAUAUUCGCAAGAACACCAGUGGCGAAGGCGGCUCACUGGCCCGAUACUGACGCUGAGGUGCGAAAGCGUGGGGAGCAAACAGG